UGAAUCCUGUGAUGUGGCCCACUCCCUUUUUUAGAGACUGUAUUGCAAUUUCCAAACACCUCCCUGUUUUCCAGCACGGCUGUCAGAGAAGAAAGUGCAGCGGAUUCCUGAAGCUGGCCUCUGUCUCUUUCCAGCAGAAGCUAAUCAUUUUCAGCUGCAGCAAGAUCUUCAGAGUUUGAUGACAGGGGCCAGGACAUGAACGCACUGACUGACCCAGAAUCGCUUCUGUGAAAUCCAAGAGAUGAGAAAUUCAAAUGUUUUUCUUUUUAAAAUUAAAAAAAAAGCGACACAAGACAAACAUGCUCAAAUACUCCUGUGUGGACCAAAGUAAGCUCUGGAGUUCCAGUUCUUAGAGCUCAAUGUAGUCCAAAAACCCCACAUUUCUUGGACCACAGAAGGUCACUCAUGCAGUAGGUUGAACAGUGGCCCCUUCACCUCAAAACUCAUGUCCCCGCCCUGUUCCCGGCCCUUGUCCUUCAGGGAGAUUGGUGCCACCCCAGCAUGUGACCUAAGGCUGCUCCUGCCCCGGCAUUUUCUAUCCUCCUGAGCACAAUAAUAAGUGGUUCUGGAAUGGGCACAUGCCCUUAGGGAGACCCUUUAGACGAAAUUAUGAGAGGAAUGAUUAAUCUAUCGAGCAAUAGCUGUUCUCUUUCCACUGGGAUUGCACAGCUAGGCGACUGGGAGCGUGCAAGGCCGGGAACAUCAGCAGCCAUCCUGAUAUCUCAUGAGGAAAACCUGUGCAGAAACACAGCCAACAGAAGCCAGCAAAGCCAGGAGUCACAGAGGACAUUCCCAGUGUUACUGUUUGAGCCCCUGGAUUCAGCUAUGCCUGAAGCUGCAACACGAGAAUAUCUGUGCAAAUUCACAUGGCAUAAAAUUAACUAUUUUAAAGGGUACAAGUCAGUGGCAUUUAGUAUAUUCACAUUGUUGUGCAAACACCACCUUUAUCUAGUUUCAAAACAUUUUCAUCACCCCAAAAGGAGACCCUGUAUCCAUUAAGUGCUCGCUCCCUAUUUCCCUCCCAUUCAUGGGCAGGUUUUUGUUUGGGCACCUGUUUCCAGUUCUUUUGAAUAUAAACCUAGGAAUAGAAUAGCUGGGUAAUUCCAAUAAAAAAAAAAAAAAAAAAAAACAGCUUCAACAAGAAAGAUGUCCCUCCCUCUCUCCUACCCAUCCCAAGUACUUUUAUCUUGCAGAUUAGACAACACACACUGGGGCCUACAGGAGGGUGCAGGGUGGGAGGCGGGAGAGAAUCAGGAAAAAAUAACUAAUGGAUACUAGGUUUAAUACUUAGGUGAUAAAAUAAUCUGUACAGCAAACCCCCACGACACAAGUUUACCUACAUAACAAACCUGCACAUGUACCCCUGAACUUAAAAUAAAAGUUAAUUAAAAA
rnacentral:lncRNA from 1 species